AUGCUCAGCAAGAGAUCACACUGGGUUUUUCAGGAGGAAGGCUUACAUGGGAGUUUUAAGAUCGGCGACUGUCCUAAUGACAUGUAUGUUCAUCCAGUACCUGAGAAGAAUACAAAUAUUAAAAGAACAAGUAAAAAGAGGGAGAGCCUGAUUUCUGAGCCCAACACCAUUACAGCCAAGUCUGGCAACUUCAUGGGUCGUGGAGGAAACUUUGGAGGUGGUGGUAACUUUGGCUGUGGUGGAAACUUCGGUGGAAGAGGAGGCUAUGGUGGCGGAGGUGGUGGCAGCAGAGGUAGUUAUGGAGGAGGUGAUGGUGGAUAAAAUGGAUUUGGAGGUGAUAGUGGCAACUAUAGUGGUGGUCCCGGUUAUAGUAGUAGAGAAGGCUAUGGUGGUGGUGGACCAGGAUAUGGAAACCAAGAAGGCGGAUAUGGAGGUGGUGGGGGAGGAUAUGAUGGUCACAAUGAAGGAGGAAAUUUUGGAGGUGGUAACUAUGGUGGUGGUGGGAACUAUAAUGAUUUUGGAAAUUAUAGUGGACAACAGCAAUCAAAUUAUGGACCCAUGAAGGGGGGCAGUUUUGGUGGAAGAAGCUCGGGCAGUCCCUAUGCUGGUGGUUAUGGAUCUGGUGGUGGAAGUGGUGGAUAUAGCAGCAGAAGGUUCUAAAAAAAAUUCAGAAGAAAAGAGCUACAGUUCUUAGCAGGAGAGAGAGUGAGGAGUUGUCAGGAAAGUUGCAGGUUACUUUGAACAGUUGUCCCAAAUGCAUUAGAGGAACUGUAAAAAUCUGCCAC